ensembl:lncRNA
UAUUGAUCCAAGAAUAUUCCCUUGAAGUAUAGGUUUAGUGUUAUUUUUGAGUGAUUAGAAAACAUUGUUUCAGGUUUUCUGUCAGCCUGUUUUUAUUUUUAUGUAUUUAUUUGUUUAUUUAUAUAUUAUUUUUGACUAAAUCUGAAAAAAAAAAGAGCCUAAGACCAGCGCAACUAAAAUCCAUCACUUACGCAUGACUUUUAUCUUGAAAGCUCGUCCGUGUGUUGUACGCAGAAGUUGCACGUCUUCACUGUGCACUGCAGGGUCGUCCUUAGGGGGGUGCAACUGGUGCAGUUGCACCGGGCCCCGUGCUUGAGGGGGCCCCCCGGCGAACGGACAGAGGGGGGAAAGGAACGCGAUCACGAAUGGACUAAGAAAUUGGACAGCAAAGAUUCUGGCAAGCACAGCUCACAGGUCUUGUCUGGAGGAGGGCCAGCUUCCAUCUGGAGCUUAUUGCAGCUGACGCCAUGCAGCGCAGUGCAGGAAAGUCUGAUUAUUGAUGUGAAUAUUAUUUUGUGUGUUCACUACGUAUGUGUAUUGCAGCCUAACUGUUCACGGAGGCAAGUUAGCUACCUCUUAUCCUAAAAGCAGUGUUUAAAAUCUCCUCAGCAGGCAGAUAAUACAUCUCCAAUGAACAACCUUUAACUAAUGCCAUUCAAGCUGGGUCAUGGGAAAAGACAGAAUCCAGACCUCAUUCAUUAGAAAAAAGCCCUCUGUGCCGAUGCAUAUGGCUGUGAACGCUGCCAUGGAAAAUGCAGCCUAAUGCACUACAGCAGUUUGACUGAUUCAUUGCAGAUGGCACGGGCAGCGCUCGAGCAGAAACAUGGCCAAAUGCUGUAUUCAAGUCAAUGCAUGAUUCUGGGAGAAUUUAAACAAUCACUCUAAGAGGCUUUCCACCGGCCUGUGUUUGCCAGAAGCUUCUCAUAAAAGAAGAGAGAAAUGUGUGACCUUUAGGUGCAAUAAGACGAGAACUAGAAGGGUGCACUAUGUUUUGAUGUGUGAGGUUGUAUGUGUGGCGUGUGAAUAAAGGAAUAUCUCAGACUUUGAUGUGGUAAAUAGUCUCUUGCAAAGCCUGGAACUGAUAUCAGCUCCAGCUGAAGUCUAACCAGA